rnacentral:tRNA from 1 species
UGCCCCGGGUGAGGCUCGAACUCACGGCCUUCAGAUUAUGAGACUGACGCGCUGCCUACUGCGCUACCGAGGC